rnacentral:rRNA from 1 species
AGAUUGAACGCUGGCGGCAUGCCUUACACAUGCAAGUCGAACGGCAGCACGGGAGCAAUCCUGGUGGCGAGUGGCGAACGGGUGAGUAAUACAUCGGAACGUGCCCAAUCGUGGGGGAUAACUACGCGAAAGCGUAGCUAAUACCGCAUACGAUCUACGGAUGAAAGCAGGGGAUCGCAAGACCUUGCGCGAAUGGAGCGGCCGAUGGCAGAUUAGGUAGUUGGCGAGGUAAAGGCUCACCAAGCCUUCGAUCUGUAGCUGGUCUGAGAGGACGACCAGCCACACUGGGACUGAGACACGGCCCAGACUCCUACGGGAGGCAGCAGUGGGGAAUUUUGGACAAUGGGCGCAAGCCUGAUCCAGCCAUGCCGCGUGCAGGAUGAAGGCCUUCGGUUGUAAACUGCUUUUGUACGGUAACGAAAAGACUCUUUCUAAUACAGAGGCUCAUGACGUACGUAAGAAUAAGACACCGGCUAACUACGUACG